rnacentral:rRNA from 1 species
UAAAAGAUUUUUAUCUUUUUUUUAUUGGUUCUAAGAUAAAAAUAAUGAUUAAUAGGGACAGUUGGGGGCAUUUGUAUUUAACAGUCAGAGGUGAUAUUCUUAGAUUUGUUAAAGACAAACUAAUGCGAAAGCAUUUGCCAAGGAUGUUUUCAUUAAUCAAGAACGAAAGUUAGGGGAUCGAAGACGAUCAGAUACCGUCGUAGUC